ACCCAGCUGACGAGUCCCGAAUAGGACGAAACGUGCAUCCUGGAU
rnacentral:hammerhead_ribozyme from 1 species